rnacentral:rRNA from 1 species
AAUGAACGUUGGCGGCGUGGAUUAGGCAUGCAAGUCGUACGGGUCGGUGUAGCAAUACAACGUCAAGUGGCGAAAGGGAGAGUAACACGUAGAUACCUACCCUCUGGUCGGGGAUACCGCGGCAUAACCGCAAGUAAUACCCGAUAAAAUCUCCGGAUCACAGGUGUCAUUCCGCCGGAGGAGGGGGCUGCGUUCUAUCAGCUUGUUGGUGAGGUAAUGGCUCACCAAGGCUAAGACGGAUACGGGGUGGGAGAGCAUGCCCCCGCUCACUGGGACUGAGACACUGCCCAGACACCUACGGGUGGCUGCAGUCGAGAAUCUUCGGCAAUGGGCGCAAGCCUGACCGAGCGACGCCGCGUGCGGGAUGAAGGCCUUCGGGUUGUAAACCGCUGUCGAGGGGAAUGAAGUGUAGGUGGGUACUCCCAUCUAUUUGACAGAUCCCUGGAGGAAGCAUGGGCUAAGUUCGUGCCAGCCGCCGCGGUAAAAC